AACGAACCGCAAACCACAAAUCAAGUCACACCCACCUCAGCAUUAGAAGUGCACACCCGCCUAUCGAAUGUCGGAUGAUGAUAAGGCAACAAGUAGGUCUAGAGAAAUGAAAGCUAGUAGGUCUACUGCACCCAUGCAUGGAUGGAAAGAAUCAAUGGACCUGUGGAUAUAGGAUCCGGCCUUCUCAAGGGUCCUCGCGCAUUUACUAAAGAGCCAAGGGGUCUAGUAUGUAAGAAUCAAUGCCAGUCUCAAGUCAAGCACACUGCUGCCGCUUCCUGGCAUCUGGAAUGCCGGAAGGGUCGGAGGAACUUGCACCCACAGAACGUACACGUCGUGUCACUGACAGCCCACUCGAGUCUUGUAAACAGUAAGAAUAGUGCCCGCUCCUGCAGCGAGCCAAGAUACGGUAACCUCGAUACUUCUUUGUGUCUCACCGCGGUACGCGCACAGACAUUAAUCUGCGGGCUCCCUCUCCGCACUCCUUCUGUCACUCCCGUGCGUCAGGUCGUUUCCGACGUCGCCUCCACUCCAUCUCCUACGUCCCAUGACUCACCUGUAGCCCCAGGCAGCCCUGCGUCCAUUGGCACAGCGCCCCUCGCCACCUGCCACCCUCUCGCUCAGCAAAUGAACGCACGCACGAUAGCAAAACACCAGCAGUCCGUAGUAUGGCCAAGGGGGGCUGCCGGUUCCCCGGUCCCAUACAGUCACACAUACAUCUUAUUAAGAAACAUCAGCAGGGUUUAUUUGGCGAGUCUCAGUAGAGAAAUAGACAUCCCUACAUCACCCAAUGCGCAUGGCAAUAUCGCACUGAGUGCUUGCUUGCGCAAGCAAUCCAGCAUCAAGUGCGGCCUUUGACACUCCCGCUCGCUCACAUACGGUGUAUUAUCAGUACAGCACGGCAACACUCGCGCGAAUCAGUCCUGUCUCCUGCGGUAAACGCCGACUACCGUAGCACGCCCUGCUGUCGUGCUGACAAUGAGAAAUGUGCGGCGGCACAGCCCUGCUGGUUCACUUGAUAGUGAAUGGGCCCGAUCAGUAGCUAGUAGCGGCGAUUAGCCUAGCUGUCUAUACUUGCACGCAUACGCUGCGGGUGUGCCUCACAUACCAUAAUACCCAGUGCUGCUUCUUUCGCAUAUAACACACGCUCAGCAUGCCCUGCUGGCUCACUUCGAUACUGUGCCAUCCACACACGUACGUGUGACGAGCCCCUCUUGCGAACGGCCGCCGGCACCACAGCUGCGGCGGCUGCGGCUGCUGCUGCUCCUGCUGCUGCUACUGCUACUGCUGCAUCUUCAAAUGGCGAGGGCAGCAAGCCGCUGGCUGCAGGGCUCAUGCAGCUGACGGCGUAACACGGAAGCCAAACGAAACGGAGCGGCCCUUGCCGCUACCAGGCCGCCACCGCUGCCGGUGGCGGGAAGCAGCCGCACGCGCGCUCCAACGCGGCAAACUCCUCCAGCUCCCGCUCCUGCUCAGCCCACGCCGCCGCCGCCAGCUCCAUCGCCAGGCGCAGGCGCGAGGGCAUCACAGCUGACUGCCACUCAUCACCCUGCUGCACCGCCGCGAUCGGCGGAACGACACAGCUGCCCAUGCUGCUGCCGGCGGCGGUGCAGGCCUCCUUGUCAGCGCUAUGCUCCUCCACUGCCGCCUCCACCAACUCCACCUGCUGCGGCGUCUCACUGCCUGCCGCCGCCGCCACCCAGACCAGACUGCAGCUGCUGGCGCUGCGGCUGGUGCGGGCGCUGUCCGGCACGGCGCAGCAGCACGAGCUGAGCGGCGAGUCAGGCGCGUCCAGCCGCUCAGUGACGACGGCCACCUCCUGCGCCGCUUCGGCCGCCGCCGGCACGCACUCGCCCUGGGCCUCUGCUUUCCCCAUCGCCGCCAGCUCCGCCGCCAUCCAGGGCGACAGCGAGGCGAGGUAGGCGCCGAAAUCGCCGGCCUCCUCCGCCUCAACGUCAUCCGCCCAGCGGCGGCCGUUGGGGGUGCCGCCGGUGCCGCUGGCAGCUGCCGCCGCCGCCUGCUCCGCCAGGCCCUCCUUCAGCCAAUCUGCGAGCGACCCGAGGUCGAGCUCCUCCUCCGCCUCCUCAUGCGCCUCAACCUCAUCCGCCCAGCUACCGCUCGCGCCACCGCUGCUGCUAAUGCUGGCGCGAGGAGCAAUGCUGCUGCUGCUGCUGCUGCUGCUGCUGCUGCUGCUGCUGCUGCCGUCAGACUCUGACGCUGCCGCGGGCACGGCCGGUGCGGCUUCCGCCUGCUGCUGCUCGGCCGCCGCGAGCUCCGCCAGUCCCUGCUUCACCCAGGGCGUCUGCUCAAAGAGGUCGCUCAGGUCGAGUCCGUCAGCCUCAUCCUCAUCAUCAUCGCCCCAUCGCGGCGUGGUCGAGCUGCGGUCGACGGUGGAGGUGGAGAUGGGGCUUGCAGCGGCGGCGGGCUUGGUCGGGGCGGCGGGCUUGGUCGGAGCCGCGAGCUUGGGCACCUUGGGCAGGCCGGGCGGCUUCUGCGGGCGCCAGUGGUUGUCGUAGGCAUGGCAAAGCUGGCAAGGGGCGCUCCUGCAGCCAGCAGAUAGGCUGGCAUAGCACCAGCGCAUGCAGGACUUGUGAGGAAAGCAGCAGGCGCUGGGGGCGGGCUCCUGCUGCUCCUGCUGGUGGGCGGCGGCGGAGGGCUCGCUCUCAUCAGAGCCGUGGCCUUGGCUGCGGGGCGUGUGGCGCCAGGCGUCCUGUGCAAACGAGAUCGGGGGAAAAGGAUAGAUGGGGGCGGACAAGCCGUGAGUGCACGGGACGAGGACAAGGGUCGGGGCGCAGAGGGCGGGAGAAAGGGCCGGGGGUCGGGGGCUCGGGCCCCGGCAAAAAAGUCAGGCGCACCGGAAAGGCACGCGCUUUCGGUCAAAGCUGUUGACCGACGCAUUUUACGAGACAAUACAUGCAGCAAUAUGCAGCCAGUGUGGCCGCAGCAGCGCAAGAAGGAACGCCGAGGAAGCCGAGCGCACUACUGGCCCGAAAUCUGCAACGCUAUCUAGCCCGCAUCAGAAGCCUAAUGCUUUGCAUGUGGCAUCGGAUACCCAUUGCAGCUGCUCAAGGCUCAAAAUGGCCGUGCCCGAACAUGAAUGGUGCUCACCUGCAUCGGUCGGCUCGGCUCGAAGUCAAGCCCCGGUGCACUUGCGAUUGACCGUGAUGUGGCCAUAGUAGCUCUCGACCGCACCAAGCACUCUUCGCGCGCAGAACUCGAUUCUGCUGCUAGCGCAAUUCUUUCGCUUGACGGAAACUUUUCCUCGCGGUGCCCGGGAGGGAUUCGCGCUAGGAGCUGCUAGCUCGUGACAGUGGUGGUGCUUGCCGCAGCUUUCAUGCGCAUGCGGUGGAAAUCGAGAGAGGUCGCGAACAGCCCUAGAAAUGCUCUUCUUUGCCGUCAGGUGCUCGUAGCUAAGCAGUGGGCGUAAAAGCUGUUUGUGAGAUGUCUUUGCAUCUGUUGAAUGUGCAAUAUGAGCACAGCGCGAAGCUUUUAUCCAGUGGCGGGGACAGGGUCUCGGGCGCCCAUGCAGGCGACACGCGCCCAAUCCCGAGCCUCCCACUCCUCGCCUGUACCUUGUCCCUGGACCCGCGCCAUCCGUGUCCCGCUGUUCAAUUCCCGCGUUUCAUACCAGCUCCCCUCCCCUGCGUAGGCCGGUAACCCCUGAUCCCGCCGCUGCCGGGGAUGCAGCCGUGCAGGAUGAGGUUGACGGCUGGGGAAGUUGGUGUGGGGAAGUUGGUGUAGGUUGGCGGUGAUCCAGCGGGGUGGGUGCCGAUGUGCUAUAGCGGGCGCGAGGCUGUACACGUCAGGAUCUGGCGAGUGUACUGCUCAAGCUGGCUUUGUGAUGGCCCCCAAGCGUAGGUGAGGUAGGCGCACGGCGGUGACAAGGCAUGCGGCCAGUGGAACUGCCUUACAGUUACAGCCCGCCCAAGCGCGGUUGUUGCCCUGCCAUGAUUUCCGUGCAGUCUGCUAGCUUCGGCAGGGACGGUGCCCAUCAGUUCCCGAUGUUGACAAACCAUGCAUCCAGCCGCCCACACGUGCUCUUCGUUCGUCACAUACCGUACUCGAACUCCAAUGUCCACAGAGCGUGUGCGCGAAAUCCACACGCCACACACGCAAGUGACAGCCGCCCGUCCUUGCACAGCAAGCAUCUCCGCGCACGGUCGCACGCUUCUCUAGCCCCAACGAACCGCAAACCACAAAUCAAGUCACACCCACCUCAGCAUUAGAAGUGCACACCCGCCUAUCGAAUGUCGGAUGAUGAUAAGGCAACAAGUAGGUCUACUGCACCCAUGCAUGGAUGGAAAGAAUCAAUGGACCUGUGGAUAUAGGAUCCGGCCUUCUCAAGGGUCCUCGCGCAUUUACUAAAGAGCCAAGGGGUCUAGUAUGUAAGAAUCAAUGCCAGUCUCAAGUCAAGCACACUGCUGCCGCUUCCUGGCAUCUGGAAUGCCGGAAGGGUCGGAGGAACUUGCACCCACAGAACGUACACGUCGUGUCACUGACAGCCCACUCGAGUCUUGUAAACAGUAAGAAUAGUGCCCGCUCCUGCAGCGAGCCAAGAUACGGUAACCUCGAUACUUCUUUGUGUCUCACCGCGGUACGCGCACAGACAUUAAUCUGCGGGCUCCCUCUCCGCACUCCUUCUGUCACUCCCGUGCGUCAGGUCGUUUCCGACGUCGCCUCCACUCCAUCUCCUACGUCCCAUGACUCACCUGUAGCCCCAGGCAGCCCUGCGUCCAUUGGCACAGCGCCCCUCGCCACCUGCCACCCUCUCGCUCAGCAAAUGAACGCACGCACGAUAGCAAAACACCAGCAGUCCGUAGUAUGGCCAAGGGGGGCUGCCGGUUCCCCGGUCCCAUACAGUCACACAUACAUCUUAUUAAGAAACAUCAGCAGGGUUUAUUUGGCGAGUCUCAGUAGAGAAAUAGACAUCCCUACAUCACCCAAUGCGCAUGGCAAUAUCGCACUGAGUGCUUGCUUGCGCAAGCAAUCCAGCAUCAAGUGCGGCCUUUGACACUCCCGCUCGCUCACAUACGGUGUAUUAUCAGUACAGCACGGCAACACUCGCGCGAAUCAGUCCUGUCUCCUGCGGUAAACGCCGACUACCGUAGCACGCCCUGCUGUCGUGCUGACAAUGAGAAAUGUGCGGCGGCACAGCCCUGCUGGUUCACUUGAUAGUGGGCCCGAUCAGUAGCUAGUAGCGGCGAUUUGCCUAGCCGUCUAUACUUGCACGCAUACGCUGCGGGUGUGCCUCACAUACCAUAAUACCCAGUGCUGCUUCUUUCGCAUAUAACACACGCUCAGCAUGCCCUGCUGGCUCACUUCGAUACUGUACCAUCCACACACGUACGUGUGACGAGCCCCUGUUGCAAAAGGCCGCCGGCACCACAGCUGCGGCUGCUGCGGCUGCUGCUGCCGCUGCUACUGCUGCAUCUUCAAAUGGCGAAGGCAGCAAGCCGCUGGCUGCUGGGCUCAUGCAGCUGACGGCGUAACACGGAAUGAAGCCAAACGGAACGGAGCGGCCCUUGCCGCUACCAGGCCGCCACCGCUGCCGGUGGCGGGAAGCAGCCGCACGCGCGCUCCAACGCGGCAAACUCCUCCAGCUCCCGCUCCUGCUCGGCCCACGCCGCCGCCGCCAGCUCGAUCGCCAGGCGCAGGCGCGAGGGCAUCACAGCUGACUGCCACUCAUCACCCUGCUGCACUGCCGCAAUUGGCGGAACGACACAGCUGCCCAUGCUGCUGCCGGCGGCGGUGCAGGCCUCCUUGUCAAUGCUCUGCCGCUCCGCUGCCACCUCCACCGCCUCCACCUGCUGCGGCGUCUCACUGCCUGCCGCCGCCGCCACCCAGACCAGACUGCAGCUGCUGGCGCUGCGGCUGGUGCGGGCGCUGUCCGGCACGGCGCAGCAGCACGAGCUGAGCGGCGAGUCAGGCGCGUCCGGCCGCUCAGUGACAACGGCCACCUCCUGCUCCGCUUCGGCCGCCGCCGGCACGCACUCGCCCUGGGCCUCUGCUUUCCCCAUCGCCGCCAGCUCCGCCGCCAUCCAGGGCGACAGCGAGGCGAGGUAGGCGCCGAAAUCGUCGGCCUCCUCCUCCUCGACGUCAUCCGCCCAGCGGCGGCCGCUGGGGGUGCCGCCGGUGCCGCUGGCAGAUCCCGCCGCCGCCUGCUCCGCCAGGCCCUCCUUCAACCAAUCUGCAAGCGACCCGAGGUCGAGCUCCUCCUCCUCCUCCGCCUCCUCGUGCGCCUCGACUUCAUCCGCCCAGCUACCGCUCGCGCCACCGCUGCUGCUAAUGCUGGCGCGAGGAGCAAUGCUGCUGCUGCUACUGCUGCUGCUGCUGCCGUCAGACUCUGACGCUGCCGCGGGCGCGGCCGGUGCGGCUUCCGCCUGCUGCUGCUCGGCCGCCGCGAGCUCCGCCAGUCCCUGCUUCACCCAGGGCGUCUGCUCAAAGAGGUCGCUCAGGUCGAGUCCGUCAGCCUCAUCCUCAUCAUCAUCGCCCCAUCGCGGCGUGGUCGAGCUGCGGUCGACGGUGGAGGUGGAGAUGGGGCUGGCAGCGGCGGCGGGCUUGGUCGGGGCGGCGGGCUUGGUCGGAGCCGCGAGCUUGGGCACCUUGGGCAGGCCGGGCGGCUUCUGCGGGCGCCAGUGGUUGUCGUAGGCAUGGCAAAGCUGGCAGGGGGCGCUCCUGCAGCCAGCAGAUAGGCUGGCAUAGCACCAGCGGAUGCAGAACUUGUGGGGAAAGCAGCAGGCGCUGGGGCCGGGCUCCUGCUGCUCCUGCUGGUGGGCGGCGGCGGAGGGCUCGCUCUCAUCAGAGCCAUGGCCUUGGCUGCGGGGCGUGUGGCGCCAGGCGUCCUGUGCAAACGAGAUCGGGGGAAAGGAUAGAUGGGGGCGGACAAGCCGUGAGUGCACGGGACGAGGACAAGGGUCGGGGCGCAGAGGGCGGGACAAAGGGCCGGGGGUCGGGGGCUCGAGCCCCGGCAAAAAAGUCAGGCGCACCGGAAAGGCACGCGCUUUCGGUCAAAGCUGUUGACCGACGCAUUUUACGAGACAAUACAUGCAGCAAUAUGCAGCCAGUGUGGCCGCAGCAGCGCAAGAAGGAAGGCUGAGGAAGCAGAGCGCACUACUGACCCGAAAUCUGCAACGCUAUAUAGCCCGCAUCCGAAGCCUAAUGCUUUGCAUGUGGCAUCAGAUACCCAUUGCAGCUGCUCAAGGCUCAAAAUGGCCGUGCCCGAACAUGAAUGGUGCUCACCUGCAUCGGUCGGCUCGGCUCGAAGUCAAGCCCCGGUGCACUUGCAAUUGACCGUGAUGUGGCCAUAGUAGCUCUUGACCGCACCAAGCACUCUUCGCGCGCAGAACUCGAUUCUGCUGCUAGCGCAAUUCUUUCGCUUGAUGGAGUUUCCUCGCGGUGCCCGGGAGGGAUUCGCGCUAGAAGCUGCUAGUUCGUGAUAGUGGUGGUGCUUGCCGCAGCGUUCAUGCGCAUGCGGUGGAAAUCGAGAGAGGUCGCGAACAGCCCUAGAAAUGCUCUUCUUUGCCGUCGAUAAGCUCAGGUGCUCGUAGCUAAGCAGUGGGCGUAAAAGCUGUUUGCGGGAUGUCUUUGCAUCUGUUGAUUGUGCAAUAUGAGCACAGCGCGAGAAGCUUUUAUCCGGUGGCGGGGACAGGGUCUCGGGCGCCCAUGCAGGCGACACGCGCCUAAUCCCGAGCCUCCCUCCUCGCCUUUACCUUGUCCCUGGACCCGCGCCAUCCGUGCCCCGCUGUUCACUUCCCUCGUUUCAUACCAGUUCCCCUCCCCUGCGUAGGCCGGUAACCCCUGAUCCCGCCGCUGCCAGGGAUGCAGCUGUGCAGGAUGAGGUUGACGGCUGUGGAUUGCAUUGGUUACAAGAGGGACCUGCUGACGCAGUUCACGAGCCAGUGACGUGUGGAAGUUGGUGUAGGUUGGCGGUGAUCCAGCGGGGUGGGUGCCGAUGUGCUAUAGUGGGCGCGAGGCUGUACACGUCAGGACCUGGCGAGUGUACUGCUAAAGCUGACUUUGUGAUGGCCCCCAAGCGUAGGUGAGGUAGGCGCACGGUGGUGACAAGGCAUGCGGCCAGUGGAACUGCCUUACAGUUACAGCCCGCCCAAGCGCGGUUGUUGCCCUGCCAUGAUUUCCGUGGAGUCUCUAGCUCCGGCAGGGACGGUCCCCAUCAGUUCCCGUAGUGGACCAUGCAUCCAGCCGCCCACACGUGCUCUCCGUUCGUCACAUACAGUACUCGAACUCCAAUGUCCACAGAGCGUGUGCGCGAAGUCCACACGCCACACACGCAAGUGGCAGCCGCCCGUCCUUGCACAGCAAGCAUCUCCGCGCACGGUCGCACGCUUCACUAGCCCCAACGAACCGCCUACCACAAAUCAAGUCACACCCACCUCAGCAUUAGGAGUGCACAUCCGCCUGUCGAAUGUCGGAUGAUGAUAGGGCAACAAGUAGGUCUAGAGAAAUGAAAGCUAGUAGGUCUACUGCACCCAUGCAUGGAUGGAAAGAAUCAAUGGACCUUUGGAUAUAGGAUCCGGCCUUCUCAAGGGUCCUCGCGCAUUUACUAAAGAGCCAAGGGGUCUAGUAUGUAAGAAGCAAUGCCAGUCUCAAGUCAAGCACACUGCUGCCGCUUCCUGGCAUCUGGAAUGCCGGAAGGGUCGGAGGAACUUGCACCCACAGAACGUACACGUCGUGUCACUGACAGCCCACUCGAGUCUUGUAAACAGUAGAAAUCGUGCCCGCUCCUGCAGCGAGCCAAGAUACGGUAACCUCGAUACUUCUUUGUGUCUCACCGCGGUACGCGCACAGACAUUAAUCUGCGGGCUCCCUCUCCGCACUCCUUCUGUCACUCCCGUGCGUCAGGUCUUCUCCGACGUCGCCUCCACUCCAUCUCCUACGUCCCAUGACUCACCUGUAGCCCCAGGCAGCCCUGCGUCCAUUGGCACAGCGCCCCUCGCCACCUGCCACCCUCUCGCUCAGCAAAUAAACGCACGCGCGAUAGCAAAACACCAGCAGUCCGUAGUAUGGCCAAGGGGGGCUGCCGGUUCCCCGGUCCCAUACAGUCACACAUACAUCUUAUUAAGAAAAAUCAGCAAGGUUUAUUUGGCGAGUCUCAGUAGAGAAAUAGACAUCCAUACAUCACCCAAUGCGCAUGGCAAUAUCGCACAGAGUGCUUGCUUGCGCAAGCAAUCCAGCAUCAAGUACGGCCUUUGACACUCCCGCUCGCUCACAUACGGUGUAAUAUCAGUACAGCACGGCAACACUCGCGCGAAUCAGUCCUGUGUCCUGCGGUAAACGCCGACUACCGUAGCACGCCCUGCUGUCGUGCUGACAAUGAGAAAUGUGCGGCGGCACAGCCCUGCUGGUUCACUUGAUAGUGAAUGGGCCCGAUCAGUAGCUAGUAGCGGCGAUUUGCCUAGCUGUCUAUACUUGCACGCAUACGCUGCGGGUGUGCCUCACAUACCAUAAUACCCAGUGCUGCUUCUUUCGCAUUUAACACACGCUCAGCAUGCCCUGCUGGCUCACUUCGAUACUGUGCCAUCCACACACGUACGUGUGACGAGCCCCUCUUGCGAACGGCCGUCGGCACCACAGCUGCGGCGGCUGCGGCUGCGGCUGCUGCUGCUCCUGCUGCUGCUACUGCUACUGCUGCAUCUUCAAGUGGCGAAGGCAGCAAGCCGCUGGCUGCUGGGCUCAUGCAGCUGACGGCGUAACACGGAAGCCAAACGGAACGGAGCGGCCCUUGCCGCUACCAGGCCGCCACCGCUGCCGGUGGCGGGAAGCAGCCGCACGCGCGCUCCAACGCGGCAAACUCCUCCAGCUCCCGCUCCUGCUCGGCCCACGCCGCCGCCGCCAGCUCGAUCGCCAGGCGCAGGCGCGAGGGCAUCACAGCUGACUGCCACUCAUCACCCUGCUGCACUGCCGCGAUUGGCGGAACGACACAGCUGCCCAUGCUGCUGCCGGCGGCGGUGCAGGCCUCCUUGUCAAUGCUCUGCCGCUCCGCUGCCACCUCCACCGCCUCCACCUGCUGCGGCGUCUCACUGCCUGCCGCCGCCGCCACCCAGACCAGACUGCAGCUGCUGGCGCUGCGGCUGGUGCGGGCGCUGUCCGGCACGGCGCAGCAGCACGAGCUGAGCGGCGAGUCAGGCGCGUCCGGCCGCUCAGUGACAACGGCCACCUCCUGCUCCGCUUCGGCCGCCGCCGGCACGCACUCGCCCUGGGCCUCUGCUUUCCCCAUCGCCGCCAGCUCCGCCGCCAUCCAGGGCGACAGCGAGGCGAGGUAGGCGCCGAAAUCGUCGGCCUCCUCCUCCUCGACGUCAUCCGCCCAGCGGCGGCCGCUGGGGGUGCCGCCGGUGCCGCUGGCAGAUCCCGCCGCCGCCUGCUCCGCCAGACCCUCCUUCAACCAAUCUGCAAGCGACCCGAGGUCGAGCUCCUCCUCCUCCUCCGCCUCCUCGUGCGCCUCGACUUCAUCCGCCCAGCUACCGCUCGCGCCACCGCUGCUGCUAAUGCUGGCGCGAGGAGCAAUGCUGCUGCUGCUACUGCUGCUGCUGCUGCCGUCAGACUCUGACGCUGCCGCGGGCGCGGCCGGUGCGGCUUCCGCCUGCUGCUGCUCGGCCGCCGCGAGCUCCGCCAGUCCCUGCUUCACCCAGGGCGUCUGCUCAAAGAGGUCGCUCAGGUCGAGUCCGUCAGCCUCAUCCUCAUCAUCAUCGCCCCAUCGCGGCGUGGUCGAGCUGCGGUCGACGGUGGAGGUGGAGAUGGGGCUGGCAGCGGCGGCGGGCUUGGUCGGGGCGGCGGGCUUGGUCGGAGCCGCGAGCUUGGGCACCUUGGGCAGGCCGGGCGGCUUCUGCAGGCGCCAGUGGUUGUCGUAGGCAUGGCAAAGCUGGCAGGGGGCGCUCCUGCAGCCAGCAGAUAGGCUGGCAUAGCACCAGCGGAUGCAGGACUUGUGGGGAAAGCAGCAGGCGCUGGGGCCGGGCUCCUGCUGCUCCUGCUGGUGGGCGGCGGCGGAGGGCUCGCUCUCAUCAGAGCCAUGGCCUUGGCUGCGGGGCGUGUGGCGCCAGGCGUCCUGUGCAAACGAGAUCGGGGGAAAGGAUAGAUGGGGGCGGACAAGCCGUGAGUGCACGGGACGAGGACAAGGGUCGGGGCGCAGAGGGCGGGAGCAAGGGCCGGGGGUCAGGGGCUCGAGCCCCGGCAAAAAAAUCAGGCACACACCGGAAAGGCACGCGCUUUCGGUCAAAGCUGUUGACCGACGCAUUUUACGAGACAAUACAUGCAGCAAUAUGCAGCCAGUGUGGCCGCAGCAGCGCAAGAAGGAAGGCCGAGGAAGCCGAGCGCACUACUGGCCCGAAAUCUGCAACGCUAUAUAGCCCGCAUCCGAAGCCUAAUGCUUUGCAUGUGGCAUCAGAUACCCAUUGCAGCUGCUCAAGGCUCAAAAUGGCCGUGCCCGAACAUGAAUGGUGCUCACCUGCAUCGGUCGGCUCGGCUCGAAGUCAAGCCCCGGUGCACUUGCAAUUGACCGUGAUGUGGCCAUAGUAGCUCUUGACCGCACCAAGCACUCUUCGCGCGCAGAACUCGAUUCUGCUGCUAGCGCAAUUCUUUCGCUUGAUGGAGUUUCCUCGCGGUGCCCGGGAGGGAUUCGCGCUAGAAGCUGCUAGUUCGUGAUAGUGGUGGUGCUUGCCGCAGCGUUCAUGCGCAUGCGGUGGAAAUCGAGAGAGGUCGCGAACAGCCCUAGAAAUGCUCUUCUUUGCCGUCGAUAAGCUCAGGUGCUCGUAGCUAAGCAGUGGGCGUAAAAGCUGUUUGCGAGAUGUCUUUGCAUCUGUUGAUUGUGCAAUAUGAGCACAGCGCGAGAAGCUUUUAUCCGGUGGCGGGGACAGGGUCUCGGGCGCCCAUGCAGGCGACACGCGCCCAAUCCCGAGCCUCCCUCCUCGCCUUUACCUUGUCCCUGGACCCGCGCCAUCCGUGUCCCGCUGUUCACUUCCCGCGUUUCAUACCAGUCCCCCUCCCCUGCGUAGGCCGGUAACCCCUGAUCCCGCCGCUGCCAGGGAUGCAGCUGUGCAGGAUGAGGUUGACGGCUGUGGAAGUUGGUGUGUGAUGGGACAGGGUUCAGGCAGGUUGGCGAGGUCCCAUAGGGUGCAGCUGACGCCCGUACCCCAAGCAGACAGCAAACAGUUUGCAGCGGCAGAGCAGGAGUGCAUGGCUGGUCGAACGCCGGAGUUACUGUACCGACAAGUUGCUGGCUGGCUGGAAGUUGGUGUAGGUUGGCGGUGAUCCAGCGGGGUGGGUGCCGAUGUGCUAUAGCGGGCGCGAGGCUGUACACGUCAGGACCUGGCGAGUGUACUGCUAAAGCUGGCUUUGUGAUGGCCCCCAAGCGUAGGUGAGGUAGGCGCACGGUGGUGACAAGGCAUGCGGCCAGUGGAACUGCCUUACAGUUACAGCCCGCCCAAGCGCGGUUGUUGCCCUGCCAUGAUUUCCGUGGAGUCUGCUAGGCAGUCGGCAGGGACGGUGCCCAUCAGUUCCCGAAGUGGACAAACCAUGCAUCCAGCCGCCCACACGUGCUCUCCGUUCGUCACAUACAGUACUCGAACUCCAAUGUCCACAGAGCGUGUGCGCGAAGUCCACACGCUACACACGCAAGUGGCAGCCGCCCGUCCUUGCACAGCAAGCAUCUCCGCGCACGGUCGCACGCUUCACUAGCCCCAACGAACCGCCUACCACAAAUCAAGUCACACCCACCUCAGCAUUAGGAGUGCACAUCCGCCUGUCGAAUGUCGGAUGAUGAUAGGGCAACAAGUAGGUCUAGAGAAAUGAAAGCUAGUAGGUCUACUGCACCCAUGCAUGGAUGGAAAGAAUCAAUGGACCUGUGGAUAUAGGAUCCGGCCUUCUCAAGGGUCCUCGCGCAUUUACUAAAGAGCCAAGAGGUCUAGUAUGUAAGAAUCAAUGCCAGUCUCAAGUCAAGCACACUGCUGCCGCUUCCUGGCAUCUGGAAUGCCGGAAGGGUCGGAGGAACUUGCACCCACAGAACGUACACGUCGUGUCACUGACAGCCCACUCGAGUCUUGUAAAC
rnacentral:lncRNA from 1 species